UCGUCUAAUCUAAUCGCGAGCCACUUUUGCGUUUUGAUAUCGCAAAAUUGGUAUAAAUACACAUCAAAGCAGUUGUUGUUCAAUCUGUUUAGUAUCAACACGAGUACACGAGAAUCACAAGAGCAAAAUGGCAAAAGUUCUAUGUUUGACAUUGGUGGUGGCUGUUUUGGUGAGCCUUACUGCAGCACUUCCUUAUUUAGUUACCGUCAACGAAGAUGAACCGUGUCCUGAAGUUCCUGUACGCCCUCCUUAUGACCCAGGUUACAAUGAAGGUGAUCCUUGUUUCGUCACAGACCCGAAUUGCUACGGAUACUAUGCUCCACAUCCAACCCACUGUUACCGAUUCCUGCAAUGCGCUGCGAAUAGAACAUUCGUUGGACGAACUUGUUCACCCGGAUUGUUCUGGAAUCAAGUGUUGGGUGCCUGUGACUUUCCAGCCCAUGUACAAUGUGACGGCCAGACCACACAACGGUCAACGACCACCACCACGGUGGCAACAACAACCAGUUCUUAGUAUCCCACAACCGAGUAUACAGGAGCUACUAAGUGUGAAAGGGUAAAUCUAUUGUGAUGACUGAAAUUAUUAUAAGUCGCAAUAAACGUUUCUUUUGUUAAUGAAUCG